CUGGCACUGGCACUGGCUCUGGCUCUGGCACCAGCUCUGGUUCCAGGCUCUGGUUCUGGUUCUGGUUCAGGCUCUGGCUCUGAUUCCAGCUCUGGUUGAGGCUCUGGCUCUGGUUCCAGCUCUGGUUCCAGCUCUGGUUCAGGCUCUGGCUCUGGUUCCAGCUCUGGUUCCAGCUCUGGUUUCGGCUCUGGCUCUGGUUCCGGCUCUGGCUCUGGCUCUGGUGUCGGGGUCUGUGCAGAAGUCGAGGUGACCUCUGGCUCUGGAGUCGGGGUGCAGUUCAGCUCCGGUGCUGGACCGGAUAUGUCAGCUGGGCUCAGGCCGGUCUGGAGCAGGAUCCAGUUGUAGAAGUGCUGAGUGGAGGUGUAGACCCCGGGGUGCCUGGCUCUGUCACAGCCUUUUCCCCAGCUGCUCAUUCCCACAAGCCAGAAGUAGUCGGCUCUGUUGUCCUUGCAGAUGAGAGGAUUCCCGCUGUCCCCCUGUGCCAGGAGAGAAGGCUCAAAGGCUGUGGUGGACUGCUGCCAUCCCCAGGGCCACCUCCUCUGUCCCAUCCCAGGGCCGGCUCCUCUCUCCCAUCCCAGGGCCGGCUCCUCUCUCCCAUCCCCAGGGUUUUCUCCUCUCUCCCAUCCCAGGGUUUUUUCCUCUCUCCCAUCCCCAGGGUUUUCUCCUCUCUCCCAUCCCCAGGCUUUUCUCCUCUCUCCCAUCCCAGGAUUUUCUCCUCUCUCCCAUCCCAGGGUUUUCUCCUCUCUCCCAUCCCAGGAUUUUCUCCUCUCUCCCAUCCCAGGAUUCUCUCCUCUCUCCCAUCCCCAGGAUUUUCUCCUCUCUCCCAUCCCCAGGCUUUUCUCUUCUCUCCCAUCCCCAGGGUUUUCUCCUCUCUCCCAUCCCCAGGCUUUUCUCCUCUCUCCCAUCCCAGGCUUUUCUCCUCUCUCCCAUCCCCAGGAUUUUCUCCUCUCUCCCAUCCCAGGGUUUUCUCCUCUCUCCCAUCCCAAGGCUGGCUCCUCUCUCCCAUCCCAGGGUUAUCUCUUCUCUCCCAUCCCCAGGGUUAUCUCUUCUCUCCCAUCCCCAGGGUU
rnacentral:lncRNA from 1 species